rnacentral:rRNA from 1 species
GCACGGCUCAGUAACACGUAGUCAACCUACCCUGGGGACGGGGAUAACCUCGGGAAACUGAGGCUAAACCCCGAUGGGCCAUGGCUCCUGGAAUGGGCUAUGGCUGAAAUCUACAUGGCCCCAGGAUGGGACUGCGGCCGAUCAGGUUGUUGGUGGGGUAAUGGCCCACCAAGCCUAUAACCGGUGCGGGCUCUGAGAGGAGGAGCCCGGAGAUGGGCACUGAGACAAGGGCCCAGGUCCUAUGGGGCGCAGCAGGCGCGAAACCUCCGCAAUGGGCGAAAGCCCGACGGGGUCAGUCCGAGUGGUUCCCGCUGAGGGAACCUUUUGCCAGCUGUAAACAGGCUGGCGAAUAAGGGGUGGGCAAGUUUGGUGUCAGCCGCCGCGGUAAUACCAGCACCCCGAGUGGUCGGGACGAUUAUUGGGCCUAAAGCAUCCGUAGCCGGCCCAGUAAGUCCUCCGUUAAAUCCAACGGCUCAACCGUUGGGCUGCGGGGGAUACUGCUGGGCUAGGGGACGGAAGAGGCGAGGGGUAUUCCCGGGGUAGGGGUAAAAUCCACUGAUCCCGGGAGGACCACCAGUGGCGAAGGCGCCUCGCUA